UGGCUCAGGACGAACGCUGGCGGCGUGCCUAAAACAUGCAAGUCGAACGAGGAUCCUAUGGGUCCUAGUGGCGAACGGCGGAGUAAUACAUAAGCAACCUGCCCCGAAGACCGGGAUAGCCCCUCGAAAGAGGGAUUAAUACCGGAUGUGGUCCGUUGUGGGCAUCCACGACGGAUUAAAACGCGCAAGCGGCUUCGGGAGGGGCUUGUGGCCUAUCAGCUUGUUGGUGGGGUAACGGCUCACCAAGGCUUCGACGGGUAGCUGGUCUGAGAGGACGAUCAGCCCGACUGGGACUGAGACACGGCCCAGACUCCUACGGGAGGCAGCAGUUGGGAAUCUUGCGCAAUGGGCGAAAGCCUGACGCAGCGACGCCGCGUGCAGGGACGAAGUCCUUCGGGGAUGUAAACUGCUUUUGCCAGGGAAAGAUGAUGACGGGUACCUGGGUGAAUAAGCCCCGGGCUAACUACGUGCCAGCCGCCGCGGGUAAC
rnacentral:rRNA from 1 species